UGGUAUUGAUUGGUGCUUGCAUCAUGAUUUACAUUUGAGUGAGUGGCGAACUGGUGAGUAACACGUGGGAAACCUGCCCAGAAGCGGGGGAUAACACCUGGAAACAGAUGCUAAUACCGCAUAACAACUUGGACCGCAUGGUCCGAGCUUGAAAGAUGGCUUCGGCUAUCACUUUUGGAUGGUCCCGCGGCGUAUUAGCUAGAUGGUGGGGUAACGGCUCACCAUGGCAAUGAUACGUAGCCGACCUGAGAGGGUAAUCGGCCACAUUGGGACUGAGACACGGCCCAAACUCCUACGGGAGGCAGCAGUAGGGAAUCUUCCACAAUGGACGAAAGUCUGAUGGAGCAACGCCGCGUGAGUGAAGAAGGGUUUCGGCUCGUAAAACUCUGUUGUUAAAGAAGAACAUAUCUGAGAGUAACUGUUCAGGUAUUGACGGUAUUUAACCAGAAAGCCACGGCUAACUACGUGCCAGCAGCCGCGGUAAUACGUAGGUGGCAAGCGUUGUCCGGAUUUAUUGGGCGUAAAGCGAGCGCAGGCGGUUUUUUAAGUCUGAUGUGAAAGCCUUCGGCUCAACCGAAGAAGUGCAUCGGAAACUGGGAAACUUGAGUGCAGAAGAGGACAGUGGAACUCCAUGUGUAGCGGUGAAAUGCGUAGAUAUAUGGAAGAACACCAGUGGCGAAGGCGGCUGUCUGGUCUGUAACUGACGCUGAGGCUCGAAAGUAUGGGUAGCAAACAGGAUUAGAUACCCUGGUAGUCCAUACCGUAAACGAUGAAUGCUAAGUGUUGGAGGGUUUCCGCCCUUCAGUGCUGCAGCUAACGCAUUAAGCAUUCCGCCUGGGGAGUACGGCCGCAAGGCUGAAACUCAAAGGAAUUGACGGGGGCCCGCACAAGCGGUGGAGCAUGGGUUUAAUUCGAAGCUACGCGAAGAACCUUACCAGGUCUUGACAUACUAUGCAAAUCUAAGAGAUUAGACGUUCCCUUCGGGGACAUGGAUACAGGUGGUGCAUGGUUGUCGUCAGCUCGUGUCGUGAGAUGUUGGGUUAAGUCCCGCAACGAGCGCAACCCUUAUUAUCAGUUGCCAGCAUUAAGUUGGGCACUCUGGUGAGACUGCCGGUGACAAACCGGAGGAAGGUGGGGAUGACGUCAAAUCAUCAUGCCCCUUAUGACCUGGGCUACACACGUGCUACAAUGGAUGGUACAACGAGUUGCGAACUCGCGAGAGUAAGCUAAUCUCUUAAAGCCAUUCUCAGUUCGGAUUGUAGGCUGCAACUCGCCUACAUGAAGUCGGAAUCGCUAGUAAUCGCGGAUCAGCAUGCCGCGGUGAAUACGUUCCCGGGCCUUGUACACACCGCCCGUCACACCAUGAGAGUUUGUAACACCCAAAGUCG
rnacentral:rRNA from 2 species